UUGACCUCGGAUCAGGUAGGGAUACCCGCUGAACUUAAGCAUAUCAAUAAGCGGAGGAAAAGAAACCAACCGGGAUUGCCCUAGUAACGGCGAGUGAAGCGGCAAGAGCUCAAAUUUGAAAGCUGGCUCCUUCGGGGUCCGCAUUGUAAUUUGCAGAGGAUGCUUCGGAAUCGGCCCCCAUCUAAGUGCCCUGGAACGGGCCGUCAUAGAGGGUGAGAAUCCCGUCUGGGAUGGGGUGUCCGUGCCCGUGUGAAGCUCCUUCGACGAGUCGAGUUGUUUGGGAAUGCAGCUCUAAUUGGGUGGUAAAUUUCAUCUAAAGCUAAAUAUUGGCCGGAGACCGAUAGCGCACAAGUAGAGUGAUCGAAAGAUGAAAAGCACUUUGAAAAGAGAGUUAAAAAGCACGUGAAAUUGUUGAAAGGGAAGCGCUUGCGACCAGACUCGCCCGCGGGGUUCAGCCGGCAUUCGUGCCGGUGUACUUCCCCGCGGGCGGGCCAGCGUCGGUUUGGGCGGCCGGUCAAAGGCCCCUGGAAUGUAACGCCUCUCGGGGCGUCUUAUAGCCAGGGGUGCCAUGCGGCCUGCCCGGACCGAGGAACGCGCUUCGGCUCGGACGCUGGCAUAAUGGUCGUAAGCGACCCGUCUUGAAACACGGACCAAGGAGUCUAACAUCUACGCGAGUGUUCGGGUGUCAAACCCGUGCGCGCAGUGAAAGCGAACGGAGGUGGGAACCCCCCGGGGUGCACCAUCGACCGAUCCUGAUGUCUUCGGAUGGAUUUGAGUAAGAGCGUAGCUGUUGGGACCCGAAAGAUGGUGAACUAUGCCUGAAUAGGGCGAAGCCAGAGGAAACUCUGGUGGAGGCUCGCAGCGGUUCUGACGUGCAAAUCGAUCGUCAAAUUUGGGUAUAGGGGCGAAAGACUAAUCGA
rnacentral:rRNA from 1 species